rnacentral:tRNA from 1 species
GCCUUCGUGGUAUAGUGGGUAACACGCUCGACGCGUCUUCGAGAGGUCCAUGGUUCGAAUCCCGGCGAGGGCA